rnacentral:rRNA from 1 species
CGCGUAGGCGGUUUUUUAAGUCAGAUGUGUAAUCCCCGAGCUCAACUUGGGAACUGCAUCUGAGACUGGAAGGCUAGAGUACUGGAGAGGGUGGUGGAAUUCCUCGUGUAGCGGUGAAAUGCGUAGAGAUGAGGAGGAACACCAGUGGCGAAGGCGGCCACCUGGACAGUAACUGACGCUGAGGCGCGAAAGUGUGGGUAGCAAACAGGAUUAGAUACCCUGGUAGUCCACGCUGUAAACGAUGAACACUUGGUGUGGAGGGAGUUGACCCCCUUCGUGCCGGAGCUAACGCGUUAAGUGUUCCGCCUGGGGAUACGGUCGCAAGGCUGAA